rnacentral:rRNA from 1 species
CCUGUUAGUAACGAAGCUAACGCGUGAAGUUGACCGCCUGGGGAGUACGGCCGCAAGGUUAAAACUCAAAGGAAUUGACGGGGACCCGCACAAGCGGUGGAUGAUGUGGAUUAAUUCGAUGCAACGCGAAAAACCUUACCUACCCUUGACAUGCCAGGAAGGCGCGAGAGAUUGCGCUGUGCCUUCGGGAACCUGGACACAGGUGCUGCAUGGCUGUCGUCAGCUCGUGUCGUGAGAUGUUCGGUUAAGUCCGGCAACGAGCGCAACCCCUGUGAUAUGUUGCCAAUAUUAAGUUAGGAACUCAUAUCAGACUGCCGUGGACAACACGGAGGAAGGCGGGGAUGACGUCAAAUCAUCAUGCCCCUUACGUCUUGGGCUACACACGUGCUACAAUGGGCGCUACAAAGGGCAGCAGAAUCGUGAGAUCGAGCGAAUCCCAAAAAAGCGUUCUCAGUUCAGAUUGAGGGCUGCAACCCGCCCUCAUGAAGGAGGAGUUGCUAGUAAUCCCGAAUCAGCAUGUCGGGGUGAAUGCGUUCCCGGGUCUUGUACACACCGCCCGUCACGCCAUGGGAGUCGGGAGUACCCGAAGUCAGUGAGCUAACCGCAAGGAGGCAGCUGCCUAAGGUAAGACUGAUGACUGGGGUGAAGUCGUAACAAGGUAACCGUA